UGGGAUGUUAUGCUGCACAAUAACAUUUACAAUUGAUCACUUAACAGGAUUCAAUAAAACAGUUUGAAGUGCAUUGAACAUACCUUUAACAGAAAUAUGGCAGGAGAGGACAAUAGAUAUAACAGGUUUACAAGAAAUGCGAAUACAGCUGAAGAAAGUAACACAACAUACAAAUACGCUGCCUUUUUGCCGAUUCCUGUAGUUUUGAGUUUAAUUUUGUUUCUUAUUGGAUUUGUAACACCCGGAUGGUCAGGCAUGAAAAUAGACGGAACAUUUUAUGGAUCUGGAUUGUGGUAUGAUUAUGUGUGUCAUGCAGGAUCAGAUUGUGAAACUAAAGAGUUUGCUCAUAUGGUGGUAGGUGGUGAGCUAGCAGAAAAGGCUGCUGAAAAUCCGUUUUGAAAUAUCGAGUGAUGGCAUGUUUCGCCUUGGUCUUCCAAAUAAAUGCAACAAUCUUGACAUUGUUGGCUCGAGUACCAAAGACAAACUUUAAACAAUACCUGUUUACAUUCAUUAGCAUCUGUGGCUUCUGUUUGUUCCUUUCAGCUGUUUUCAGUUUGGUCACAUCAGGGAUGAAUGCACACCAAAUUAUCAAGGCUUAUAACGUCUACAAGAAAUAUAAACACCUCUUUGUUGGAGAAAGUUCUCUUACAUUUCCGUAUUGCUUGUUUUUAUUUGGCAUCGGAGGAAUAAUUUCCGCAUUGACAAUGUUAUUCAUAAUGAGAGCAUUUUGCUCCAAGCGCAUGACAGUGAAAGCACCAUACAGAUGUCUACGCGUGCUGUUCAAAUGUCUUAAAACAGGGAAUUCAAUUCUCAACAGAUUUGGUGAACAUGUGAAUUAAUCAACUACUUUUCAUUUGACUGUACCUAUGAUCAUGCAGUAUAAUCCACUGUAUUUGAAUCUAAAUGAUCCGUUUUUCAAAGGGUCUUUUGACCUUAUAGUUCUGCCAAAUUUAUUGAAUAUACCAUAUGUAGAACGGUUAAAUUUGCCUAUGUGAUAUUAUUUUCACAUAGAAAAAGGCUUUAUCCCGAGUUUAUGGAAAAUGAAGAGAUGUUACAUUUAUCAUUGUUUAUAUGUUGAAUUAUGUCUGUCUCUUUGUCAGUGGACGAUGAACACCAUUUCACAACUUUUUUUCCGAACGAUAUAUCUUUAGAAUGGAAAACAUUAUUUUGGAAAAUUAAUAACCUUCUACUAAUGAUAUAUGUUACAAAUGAAACUAGAGGGACACAUGCAAACUAUAGGUGUUGGCCUAAAAUACUAAACGUUACGAACCCUGUUCAGUUUGUUAUUGAAUGUAAAUUCAUCUAUUCAUUUACUUAUUUACCCAGAAUAUUCUGUUUAUAAUUCCAAUUAAUAAAAAAGUAUGCAUGUU